rnacentral:rRNA from 1 species
GACGAACGCUGGCGGCGUGCUUAACACAUGCAAGUCGAACGCUGAAGCUCAGCUUUUGUUGGGUGGAUGAGUGGCGAACGGGUGAGUAACACGUGAGUAACCUGCCCCCCUCUUUGGGAUAACGCCCGGAAACGGGUGCUAAUACUGGAUAUUCACUGGUCUUCGCAUGGGGGUUGGUGGAAAGGGUUUUUCUGGUGGGGGAUGGGCUCGCGGCCUAUCAGCUUGUUGGUGGGGUGAUGGCCUACCAAGGCUUUGACGGGUAGCCGGCCUGAGAGGGUGACCGGUAACAUUGGGACUGAGAUACGGCCCAGACUCCUACGGGAGGCAGCAGUGGGGAAUAUUGCACAAUGGGCGCAAGCCUGAUGCAGCGACGCCGCGUGAGGGAUGGAGGCCUUCGGGUUGUGAACCUCUUUCGCUCAUGGUCAAGCCGCAACAAUGGUUGUGGUGAGGGUAGUGGGUAAAGAAGCGCCGGCUAACUACGUG